rnacentral:rRNA from 1 species
ACGACGCUGCGGCGUGGUAACACAUGCAAGUCGAACAGAGAAGAGAGAAGCUUGCUUUUCUACGAUCGAUGCCAACGGUAGUAAGGUAACCACCCUCCCGAUGGGCCACCAUGAACGGUGUAAUCCAUCGGUCCUUUUAGGCAGUUAAGGAAGAAAGGUGCCUUUGAACAGCUACCGUCGGAAGGGUUUGGCGUUGAUUAGCUGUUGGAGGGUACGGCCCACCAAGGCGACGAUCAGUAGCCGGUCUGAGAGGAUGAACGGCCACAUUGGAACUGAGACACGGUCCAGACUCCUACGGGAGGCAGCAGUGGGGAAUCUUCCGCAAUGGGCGAAAGCCUGACGGAGCAACGCCGCGUGAGUGAAGACGGCCUUCGGGUUGUAAAGCUCUGUUAUAGGGGACGAACGGCCGGGUAGCGAAGAGGUAGCCGGCAUGACGGUACCGUAAGAGAAAGCCC